rnacentral:tRNA from 1 species
GCCUAAAUAGCAUUAACCGGACAAAGCGCCGCACACAAUGAUGUGCACACGCGGGUUCGACUCCCGCUUUAGGCA